rnacentral:pre_miRNA from 1 species
AAUAAACGAAUUUACGUGUGUUUCUGAUAGAAUUUUGACUCUUUGUCUUAUUUGAAAAUUUUUGAUGAUUAAUAUUUUUAUUGUUACUACAUGAUAAAACAUGAAUAAUACUUUACGUGCAACUAAUUUUUUUUUAAUUUUUUAAUAAAUUUUUUAAAUAAGAUGGAUGGUUAAACGCUCGAACUAAAAAACCCA